UUUUGUUAAACCCAGACUACUGGGUGUUUGCAUUUAGGUCCCCUAUGGAAUAAUGGUGUAGAAGAAUAUGUCCUCUGGCCAGAGUGGCUCCUGGUUCAGACUGGGUGCCCUGUCAGGUCUUAAGAUGGCAAUACCAGACCAGUUCCCUGUGCCCCAGAAACUAACAUAGGAUUUUCUAAUUUAUCCAUAUAGGAGGGGGAGCCAGUCCUACUGCUUCCUGAGCCCCAGUGUCAGGAACUGGGGCUGGCUAUGUAGAAGUGGAAGGCAGUGGAUGGAGUGGACACAUUGACAUAGUGGCCAGAGAGGCUGGGACAGCCAGCUCAGCCGGAGGAGUUAAGGUUUGAAGGAACAUCUCCUCACUCUCCUUCCUUUCCUCUGUUUUAUUUUCCCUGAUGUAAUAGCACAAAUACUUACACAUAGGGCAUUUCAUCAUUUUUCCUGCUUUUUCACAGAGUAUCUAAAAUUGCAGGGUUGUAUAGAGCCACUCAAAGGCCACCAUUCCUCAACACUUUAUUGUGAAAGUAUAAAUAGUUCGUGAUCCUCCCUAACCAUUGUGACUUGGCAUCAACCAGCCGGGCUGAACUCCGGGCUGGGGCUUUUCGUGAUUUUAGGAACCAAGUGAAACCUUUAUAUUCUCCCCGGGAAUGUCCCACGCUCAGACAAGAACAGGUAGGUUUCUUUUUUCUGUUCUUUUCUUCAGUUUAACAACAGUAAAAGUGUUAAGUAUCAUAAAACCGACUUGGUUAUAGAUGGAGAAAUGGUACCAAAACAAAGUGAAACAAGAAACCCAAAGGACAAACAGAAAACCCUAAAUAAAUGCUCAGGUUUGGCCUUGGGGUUUUACAUACACCAACGACACAGGAGACCACAAAUGACGUAAUUAACACAGCAAGGGUGGCAGUAGACGGAGAUAACCCGGCAUAAACUGCUUGUGGGGAUCCCCACAGGUACUCCGGCCACACAUCGUUCAUCUUUCUCUCAGGCAUGGGUUCAUAGCUGUAAUCAGAUCACUUAUCCAAAAUAUGCCUCAGAGAACCUUCUUUAGGGAUAGUUGACACGUUCCCCAUUUUUUUUUAAAGAUAGGAAUACAAAACAAACAAAACACAAAUGCUAGCAGCCAAAGAAACAAAUGCACCAGCUCACAAGUCGGGUAAAAGUCCAACAACUCUUUCCUCUCUCCAACAGGGUACCCCUCUAAAACAGACUGGUUUAUUCAAGAGAAAGCCCCAAAUGGAGAGGAAUAAAGUUUCUGGCUGUACACAGCAGAGCGACUUACUUACCCUACUGUAUGGAGCCCAUUGGCCCCCAGAUGUCGAUUCCUUGCUCCAACUGCCACACGCUAGGGCAGUGGUACUGCUUCGGGACGUUGUGAAGGGAGGAGCCUCAGGACAAGUGGUCCUGGCAGCUGCUAGGGCCUCGCCUGAAAACUCCCCAGGUGGGGCUGGCUGGUCACAAGCAGCAAGGCUCCUGGCUGGCUUUGACAAGAUUUGUUACUGAGUCCAAACUUGUUCUGCUCGGUUUUUAUGUGCACCUUAGUAUACUAUCCACACUGUUCUGUGCCUUAAUGCUUCUGAUUUUAUAUAUGUUAGAAAAUUUCCACAUAGAUAUGCUACAUUUUAUAAAAGCUGCAUGAUUUUCCGUUGUGUGGAUAUACUACAAUUGACUGCAGCAGGCCCUGUUGGGUCUUGUUGAUAUUAAAAACAAUGUUGCAGUGAACAAGCUUGCUCUUAUAUCUUUGUGGACAAGUGAAGAUUUCCACUGCAUAAAUAUCUAAAUGUGGAAUUACAUAGUUAAAGAAAAGGUUUAAUUGUCACAGAUGUCCCUAGGUAGCCCUCCAAAAAGGGUGUGCCAACUUACAGUUCCAUCUAUAGUAUAUGAAAAUGCCUAAUUCUAGGUCUUACUUUUUAACAGUUAUUGGCUAUAAUUUAUAAACAACAAAAUUCACUCUUUAGGAAUACAGUUUGAUAAAUUUUCUAGUUAUAACUUCCAUUAUAAUCAAAAUUUAGAACUGUUCCACCAUCUUCAGAAGCUCCCAUAUUACCAUUUGAAGCGAAUCCAGACCCCUUAUCCUUGUUUCCAGGCAACCACUGAUCUGUUUUCUGUCACUAUUAGUUUUGCCUAUUUUCGAAUUUCAUAAGUAGACUUUUGAGUUCUUUCACUUAGCAAAAUGUUUUUUAGUUACAUCAACACAUCACUGACAGAUAUUUCAUAGCAUGGUUAAAACAUAAUUUGUUGAUCUAUUCACCAUUUGAUGGACAACUUGGGCUGUUUCCAGAUUUUGAUUAUUAUGAAUAAUAUUGCUAUGAAUAUUCAUUCAAGUUGUAUGUACAUCUUUUCAUUUUAUUUUGUGUUGUCUUACUUGUAUUACACAAGAAUGGGAUUGCUGAAUUACGUGGUAAGUGACUUAAAAUAUACUGCUUUAAAUUUCCCAAAUCGGCCAUGCUAUUUUGCAAUCCUAUCAACAAUGUAUGAGAAUUCCAGUUGCUCCACAUUCUCUCCCAUACUUGGUAACGCCAUGCUUCUUUUUUUAAUGUAACCAUUCUAACGUGUGUUCAUGGUUUUAAUCACAUGUCCCUGAUGACCAGUGAUAUUGAGCAUCUUUCAGGUGUUUGUUUACUGAUCAUUCAUAUGCCUUCUUUGUGAAGUACUUCUGCAAAUGUUUGAUCCAUUUUUUAAUUUACUUGUUUGUUUUCCUAUCAUUUCAUGCUACUGACACAUAAGAGGAAAGAGGCAUGAGAAAAUGGACUUGGAGAAGAAAGCAAGGCUUGUAUCUGAUUAUUUUACACAGACAUAGGAAAGAUUCAUUAAGAGAUCUCAAGCUUUCCUUUAAACAGUGGUUCUACAAUGUCUUGGGUAGAUUAGAAACCUACCAGUGCCUUGGUCCCACCAAAAUCCAAUUAAUCAGAAUGGGUAGUGGUGAGGUAGCCUCAGUAGUUAUUAAAUCUCUUCAUAUGAUCCUGUUGUGUACUUAGGAUUCAUCAAACUUCUGUAUAAAUUUUUGACAGUGGUAGAGUUUCAAAAGGAUUAAAGCCAAGUGGGCUUUAAAUUCCAUUAUGAAUGUUUAAUUCAAAGUUAAGAAAAUACAUUAUAUUUUGAUUAAAAUAUAGAAUGAAAUAUGCUACUCUUGAAAUAAGAUUGAUAAUUAGAGCAGAUUGUUAAAAACUGAUGAAUGAGAAGAUACAGUGAACUUACAUGCUUAUUUCUUUUUGUCUUAAUCUGAACAAAUAUCCUCUUUUAAGCAUGGUGUUUUUUAAGUUAGUAAACCUUGAUAUUUUAAUUAAGAAUACUAUCCUGUCAAAAAAGUAUAAUUAAAUAGAAUAUGUACCAAUCAAUCACUCUACUUACUAAUUAAAUUUAGUUGUUUGGAUCAUAAAGCUCAAGAUAAAUAGUCAUUUUAAUUAUUGACUAAUAUUAAAUAUGUGCCCAUUAAUGGGAGUUAAAGUAAGAUGACUUUCACCUCAUUGUAAAGUGAGAAGGACAUUCUAAAGAUAUGCCCCGCAACAGCCAGUAUAUAAUAUCUAGCAUCUCUCUUCCUAGCAGUGUGCCUGGGGCAUACACAAUAAUCAAUACUUAUUGUAGGUUAGUAAAUGGACACUUUAGGAAAAGCAGAGUCCCCAUCACUACAGUGUGUUUAAGCAGAAACUAGACGACCGUCUGCCAAAGAUACUACUGAAAAGAUUUCUAAGGAAGGGGGUAGAAAAUUGGUGAAGAUGAAUUAUAAAGUCCCUUUGACCUCUAAAAUUAUUUGGUCCUACAUCUUCAAUAUAUUGAGAGUUGCACUUCACAAUACCUUGCUAUCUUUAACCUGCUGUGGGAGAAUAAUGCAAUUUUAAUAGAAAAGCUUUCUGACCCAAUUUAUUUUUCAUAUUUCAAGAACUUGUACUCAUUUUUUCUUAGGGUAGGCAGAAGUGUGUGGAGACGUGCAGACUGUGAAAAUUGAAUUGGUGAUGCAAGACAGGAAGUGAAGUUGGCUUCAUUGCAAAAAUUCAACAUGGAAAGGGGUAACCAAAUAAGAGCACUGCCCCAGACAAGCAGUAAGAAUAGUUACAUGAAGUGAAGGGAAAGAGAAUAGAGAACAGGUGAAAUUAAUUGUGGCAUCCAAGGGGACAUACCUGCUAUACUCCUCUCUACUAAGAGUUACGUGAGCUAUCAAAGCAAGAAUUGAAGAUUAAUGUUUGAAAGCUUGGUUAUUUGUUAUUGACAGUUUUCCAAGAGCACCUAGUCUAGCUAUAUUAUGCCCGCACUUGCAAAAACAUACACUGACAGAUAGUGGCAGCUCACCGAGUAUCGGCAAAGGCCAAAGACUUGGAAGGAGAGGAAGGUAGUUCAGAUCCCAACACCUAGAUCACACUUUCGGCUAGUCUGGUGGAAACAGACACUUCCCCUUCAUCACACCUGUGUAUCUUCCCCAGUAAAUUCUCCCUAGCAUCCUCUUCCUGACAUCACACUCUCCUGAGGAGUCAGGCUGUCGUGUGUUUGAUUGAUGGAGCCUGUCUGGUUCUGGUAUUUGAUUGGUCACCUAUCUGGCUGUAACAAAGAACAACAAAUCUGACUCCGUAUUAGGUCUGUUCCUUUAGCUUUAACCCUGUGCUCUGUUUCCUGUGCUUAGUCAUGCUGAUUCUGCACCUUUUGCAAAAGAAUGCUGCCUACAGUCCAAAAUAGACAGGACAGCCCAUUCUCAAGUCUCUGACCUUUAAGGAUAUAGCACUUUUCCAUUCAUAUACAGAUAAAAAGUUGCAGAACAGAGAAUAACAUUUCUCUUGCUGGAGAUUUGCAAGAACAUCAUGACCUGACCUAGGUGGACAACUGCAAGAACGGAGGAUUCUGACCCCAAGAAGUUUCCAACCACCAGCCACACCCCCUACCUUUUUUAGUAUAAAAGGAGCCUGAAUUCUGACUUGGGGAAGAUAGUUCUCUAGGACAUUAGUAGUCCCUCAUCUUCUUGGUCUGCUGGAUUUCUGAAUUAAGUUGCUAUUCCUUGUCCCGACACCAUGCCUCUUGAUUUAUUGGCCUGUCGUGCAGUGAGCAGAAUGAGUUUGGAUUCAGUCAUAGGGUUCUAAUUGAAAAGUUAGAAUAAAAAAAAAGCUUGAGCAGGCUGGAUCUCUAAUGUACUAAGUUCCCCUAAUACAAAAAUUAUUCAAAAGAUGCUCAGUAGUAAUAAAUAUAUAAAUAACCCCUGGGAUAUCAAAACAGACUUUAGAUAGAAAUAUAGAUGCUUGUAAAACUCUUAUCACAAACUCGUUACUUAGCAAUUUCACAGCAACCAGUUAACGGCUGAGGGAGAAUUUCCAAUCAAGGAAGAAAGUAAUACCAUCUUUGACAGAAUUCUUCAGGAAGGCGAGUGAGUGCCAGCAGGAAAUACAGAAAUUUUUUCACAGUAGUUUUUUUUGGCCACUUAAAUAUCGAGCAUCCUAUUUAACUUCUAACUUUUUAACCCCUUCUUAAUACAAUGCACUCAGCAGAGACUUUAAGUUCAAUACUAGAAAACGUGACUUGACUUCUGUAACGGAAUUCUGUGGGAAGAAGGUACACACCCGAGAGGCAUUUGCUUUACAGAACAUGCUUCCUGGAACUGGAGUUUGCCGCAAAACAGAAGCCAUUUUCAGCGCCUAUCCAGGUGGGCCACACAUCUCCUUCCUACCUGCCAACAGCGUUCCAUAAAGGAAGCUGGGCUAAUGGCUCUUCUCACCUCCCCUGCCAGCUGACAAGGCAUUGAACGUGCUCUGCUCAGCAGCAGGAACUAAAAGCCUUGUCAAAAUCACGCUGUUCUGGAGACAAGGCGAGGUGACUUCCACAGCAUUAACAAAAGCUGCAGCGUGAGGACAGCUGAUCUGUUGUGCUAAAGGAUGCAUGGUCCACCUGACAUGGCAGCUGCCCCAAAAGACCAUCAUCUCCCUCUAAUCCCUGGGUGUACGGGUCCUCCAGCUUGCUGCUCCCUCCAUGUCACUGACACAGCAUUGCCAAUUGUCACAUGGCAUCUGAGCUGGCACUCUACUGGGGUAGCUCCUAAAUACGGUAGGAACUAGAGGAUGAGAAAAAAUUCAGUGCUGGCAGCAGCAAGGGAACAAAGGAAAUGUGCAUUUGGAAAAUGUCUGAUUUAAACAUCACCACCACCAAUUUGACUGCAUGAUUAAUUAAUAUUUGCUGAUAACCUUUUAUCUUUUACUGCCCCCAUUUUAGAACAGGUGCUUUUCAUCGAUGCUUGAUACUUGCCAUGAAAAAUUCUCAAAAAGCACUCUGAAGAAUUUUGUUGUAAUUGUCACUUUUUUUUAACAGGAUUUUAUCCAUCUUAUGAAUGUGUCAGCAAAGCAGAGCAGAGUCAGCAUAAGCUUAGAUUAGCGGGAGAGAAAAUAUUUUUGUCUUUAUUCUACUUAGACAGCCAAAGCCUUGGGUUUGAUAUGUGCAGAACAGAUAAACAAGGUCCUACUGUACAGCACAGGGAACUAUAUUACCUUGUAAUAACCUAUAAAGAGAAAUAUGUAUUAUAUGUAUAACUGAAUCACUAUGCUGUACACCAGAAACUAACACAACAUAGUAAAUUGUCUAUACUUCAAUAAAACAAAAUAAAAAAACAAAAAAAAACAAAGCUUUCGGUUUGAAACUGGGCUCUGCUGAUUUUUUUUUUUUUUUUGCUCUGUAUUUUUUUGUGUACACUUUACCUCUCUGAGCCUCCGUAUCCUCAACUAUAUAAUGGAAGGAGACAAAAAACAGAGUCAAACAACAAGAAAAAGAACCCAGCCCACAGGGCUACAGUCAGUAUUGAAUAAGGAAAUACCUGUAAAAGUACCACUAGCAGUGCUUGAAACAUUGUAACAAUUUAGCAUCUGUCAGCUAGACCUAGAUGCGGUUCAUUAUGAAUUUUCAUACACAGCAAACAUAAUAUGUGUUAAAAUUAGAAAACCUGGUCAAAUAAUAUACGUACUCUUCAUGUAAAUAGAAAGUAUAUUUAAAAUUUUCCAAUUCCCAUCUUGCACUUCCUGCUUGAAAAUCAGUGAAACUCCAUGGCCAUUAUCUUUUUUACUACAUCCACUGGUCCUUCGCCAUAGAAUGCGUAGUAGAAAUGAAUUUAAACAAAUUGUGAUUUCAACCACAUUCAAAAGAGUCUUCAUGAAGGAGUUAUUUUAAAUAUAGAUGACAAAAACAUUCUGAGAAGAACACGUAUCUUUUUUUAAGUAAGUGUGCUUUAAAUUAUUUUUUAAAUAUAUGUGAUGUGUAGUUAUGUAAUUUGUUUUACUAUUCUUGAGCUGGCAAUACAAUGAAGAGCUGCAUAAAACUGUACUCAUCAAAGAGCAAAAUAAGCUUGACUUUCAUUACGGAGGAAGACAAUCAUUUCUGAGAGGUUUCAGUCUGAUUUCUGACAGUUUGAAGCUUCUCGUAGUAACUAGAAAUUGCUUGUUGAAAUACGGAAUUUAUAAUUAAUUACAAUGUUUGCCAAAUAAAAAUCUAAGUGCCUAAAUGAAUGGCUUUCUUCUGACUUAAUUUUUGUCCUUUGCCAGAUCAGAUAUAAAAAUGUGGGCUUGAAUCCCUGAUGAGAUGAAAUGACCCCAGUCACUCAACCAAGACAGAGAAGACAUGCUGCUGGCUGAAAUCCAAUUAGCUUGGCUUCAUGAAAAUGCAAGAGCUACUGCUUUACUCAGGGAGACGGGCAGCAUCAUGUUAGCUGUAAGAGAAGCUUACGGACAGACCCCUUAGCUGGAGUGCUGAGUGACUGCUCAAACGGAAGAAAAGACAGAAGACACAGACAAAAUAAGAAAUGAAAGAAGAGAAAUGACAACCAAUACCACAGAAAUAAAAAAGAGAUUACUAUGAACAACUAUAUGGCAACAAAUUGGACAACUUCGAAGAAAUGGACAAGUUUCCAGAAACAUAUAAUCCACCAAAACUGAACCAAAAAGAAACAGGUAAUUUGAACAGACCAAUCACUAGAAGUGAAACAGAAUCAGCAAUUAAAAAAAACUCUCUGCAAACAAAAGUCCAGGACCAGAUGGCUUCACAGGAGAAUUCUACCAAACAAAGAAUUUAUAGUAAUCCUUCUCAAACUCUUCUAAAAUAUUGAAGAGGAGGGAGAACUUUCAAACUCAUUCUAUGAAGCCACCAUCACCCUGAUAACCAAAACCAGACAAAGACACUACCAAAAAAGAAAAUCACAGGCCAAUAUCAUUGAUGAAGAUAGAUGCAAAACUCAAAAAAAUAAUAGCAAACAAAAUUCAAUAAAAAAGAUCAUAUACUAUGAUCAAGUUGGAUUCAUCCCAGGGACACAAGGAUAGUUCAACAUACACAAAUCAAUCAACGUGAUACACCACAUCGACGAGAGAACCUCCUAGAAGAAAACACAGGCAAAAUAUUCUUUGACAUAAAUCUUAGCAAUGUUCUCCUAGGGCAGUCUACCAAGGCAAUAUAAAUAAAAGCAAAAACAAACAAAUGAGACUUAAUAAGACUUAAAAGCUUUUGCAUAGCAAAGGAAACCAUAGACAAAAAAAAGACAACCUAUGAGCUGUGAGAAAAUACUUGGAAAUGAUGUGGCUGACAAGGGUUUAAUUUCCAGAAUAUACAAACAGCUCAUACAGCUCAAUAACAAGAAAAUAAACAACCCAAUAAAAAAAUGGGCAGAAGACCCAGACAUUCCGCCAGAGAAGACAUCCAAAUGGCCAAUAGGCACGUGAAAAAAAUGCUCAGUAUCAUUAAUUAUUAGAGAAAAGCAAAUCAAAACUACAAUGAAGUAUCACCUCACAUUGGUCAGAAUGGCCAUCAUUAAAAAGUCCAAAAACAAUAAAUGUUGGAGAGGGUGUGGAGAAAGGGAACCCUCCUACAAUGUUGGUGGGAAUGUAGUUUGGUGCAGCCAUUAUGGAAAACAGUAUGGAGAUUUCUUAAAAAAACUAGCAAUAGACUUACCCUAUGAUCCAGCAAUCCCACUCCUGGGCAUAUAUCUGGAGGAAACUCUAAUUCAAAAAUGUACAUGCACUUCCAAUGUUCAUAGCAGUUCUAUUUACAAUAGCCAAGACAUAGAAGAAACCUAAAUGUCCAUUGACAGGAGACUAGAUAAAGAAAUUGUGGCACGCACGCGCGCGCGCGCACACACAC